rnacentral:rRNA from 1 species
UCCGUAGGUGAACCUGCGGAAGGAUCAUUACAAGAAACGAGGCCGCGUGCGUGCGCUCGCCCGCCCGGCCCCGCUCCUUACCUUGCCUACUGCACCGUUUGUUGCUUCCUGGCGGCGGACUGCCCGCCGCCAGGGACGUUGAUACAACCCUGUAUAGAAGCAUUGAAGCUCUGAGAAAACGCGAAAUCGUACAACUUUCAACAAUGGAUCUCUUGGUUCUGGCAUCGAUGAAGAACGCAGCGAAAUGCGAUAAGUAGUGUGAAUUGCAGAAUUCAGUGAAUCAUCGAAUCUUUGAACGCACAUUGCGCCCCUUGGCAUUCCAUGGGGCAUGCCUGUUCGAGCGUCAUCUAAACCCUCAAGCCCCCGGCUUGGUGUUGGGUGCCUGUCCCCGCUCCCCGCGCGGACUCACCCCAAAUGCAUUGGCAGCCGCCUCUCGGCUUCUUGCGCAGCACAGUGCGCAGCGAGGCGAGGUGAGGCGUGCGUCCAGCAAGCAACCACCCAAGUUUGACCUCGGAUCAGGUAGGGAUACCCGCUGAACUUAAGCAUAUCAAUAAGCG